AAUGGACGCAAGUCUGACGGAGCAACGCCGCGUGAGCGAGGAAGGUUUUCGGAUCGUAAAGCUCUGUUGUGAGGGAAGAACACGUAUGAGAGUAACUGUUCAUACGCUGACGGUACCUCACCAGAAAGCCACGGCUAACUACGUGCCAGCAGCCGCGGUAAUACGUAGGUGGCAAGCGUUGUCCGGAAUUAUUGGGCGUAAAGCGCGCGCAGGCGGUCCUUUAAGUCUGAUGUGAAACCUUGCGGCUUAACCGCAAGCGGUCAUUGGAAACUGGGGGACUUGAGUACAGAAGAGGAGAGUGGAAUUCCACGUGUAGCGGUGAAAUGCGUAGAGAUGUGGAGGAACACCAGUGGCGAAGGCGGCUCUCUGGUCUGUGACUGACGCUGAGGCGCGAAAGCGUGGGUAGCGAACAGGAUUAGAUACCCUGGUAGUCCACGCCGUAAACGAUGAGUGCUAGGUGUUGGGGGGUCCGCCCCUCAGUGCUGAAGUUAACACAUUAAGCACUCCGCCUGGGGGAGUACG
rnacentral:rRNA from 1 species